rnacentral:rRNA from 1 species
AACGAACGCUGGCGGCAUGCCUAACACAUGCAAGUCGAACGAGGCCUUCGGGUCUUGUGUCUCAUUAGUGCGUAGCGCGUGGGAUCCGUCCCUUGGGUUCGGCAUGACCCGGCGAAGGGGGUGAUAAUACCGGACAAUGGCUACUGACGAAGAAUUUCUCGCUUUAGGAUGGGCCCGCGUGGGAUUGGCUAGUUGGUGUGGUAAAGGCCUACCAAGGCGACGAUCAAUAGCUGGUCUGAGAGGAUGAUCAGCCACACUGGGACUGAGACACGGCCCAGACUCCUACGGGAGGCAGCAGUGGGGAAUAUUGGACAAUGGGCGAAAGCCUGAUCCAGCGACGCCGCGUGAGUGAUGAAGGCCUUCGGAUUGUAAAGCUCUGUUGUCCGGGAUGAUAAUGACGGUACCGGGCGAAUAAGCUCCGGCUAACUACGUG